GACGAACCGUGCGAACGUUAUUCGGAAUCACUGGGCUUAAAGCGCGUGUAGGCGGGUUCGUACGUCCGUCGCUGAAAUCCCCCGGCUCAACCGGGGGAACGGGCGUGGAUACGGCGGACCUGGAGGGGCGUAGGGGGACCUGGAACUUCCGGUGGAGCGGUGAAAUGCGUUGAGAUCGGAAGGAACGCCCGUGGCGAAAGCGAGGUCCUGGACGCCUACUGACGCUGAGACGCGAAAGCCAGGGGAGCGAACGGG
rnacentral:rRNA from 1 species